CAAAAUUUAGAAUUUUGGGAUGUUACAUUUUUAGCACAAACACACUAAGACAAAAUCCAUUACUAUUGAUGUCUCGAUCAUGUCAUUUUUGCAAGAAUAAAAAACUCACUAACCUAAACACAAGAGGGAAUGAAGUCUGAAGUAGAUAUUUUCUCUACCAUCUGUAACUCCACAAUAUGGAUGGAAGCCCUAUGGGCACAGGUACCGGUGAGUUCCAUGGACAUCCUUCGUUAGCUCGGUAACAAUCCAGGCAGCGGCUCAAUGGAAAUAACAAUCGACCGCUGCAUCCAACACUAAUGGGAAAGAAGACAACCAAUCAUCACAUAUUUGGUGCGUGAGAAAAGAUCAUCAUGAUGUUGCUACAAGUACAACCUUCAGAACACCAGUAUACUUGAAAUGCUCAUAAGCCAUAAUCAUCGUCAUCCAGCGCUCAGUGUUGUAAAAAAUCAUCUGCAAGUAAAACAUGAUAAAAGAAAAGCUACAUACUAAGAGAAGUUGCAUAAGCUUCUAUUCAUCUCUUCACAAGGAAUUUAUGUAUAUACAUUCAAGGACCAUGGACUAUCGGUGAAGAUAGAUAUCUUUUUUUUCUCUCUUGACAGGUGAUGUAAGUACCAAAAACUUGCUGAAAACGGAUUACACGUACAUGUACUAAAUAAACCCGCUCACAUAAAAAUUUCCUACCCUGUAAAUAGUAUCAAAUAUUUGGAUUAAUUAACUAGCGGUUUUGGAUCGCCAAGGCCAUUAAAGUGAUAUCUAACAUAGAUGCCAAUAUAGAGCCAGAUAAACAUAGUGAUGAUUAAGAUGGAUGUAUGGUUCUCAUACAUAUAUGAAGAUGUAUCAGUCCUAAAAAGUAAGUGCACUGGUGCAUCAACAAAGAACUAACCGAUAUCAAAAGUACAAAAAUUGCCAAUAUAUUUUGAGCAAGCCAGCCAGUGCCAUGGUUUUAUCCUAACUAACUACUUUUUUGCGGGGGAUCCUAAUUAACUACUUGACCAUUCACAGUAUAGUAAAGUACCAUAUGCAUCACCAUUUCCUAGCAUAUAAUAGUAUAGUAAGACUAAAAGAUACUCGGUAAUGGGGUUGACCAUUCGAGCAACCAAUUUCAUCACAGGUUUCCAGAUAUCUAGAGACAACACUUGUAUGGAAAUAUAUCACAACUAAGCAACAUAAUCAGGAGAUGAAUAGUUUCAACAAAGAAUGAAUCUAAGAACAGCCGAAGGUACAACACACUGACCUGAUUUGCUUGCAGCACCAUGUCUUGUUGGAUGCUGGCCUCCUCCUCACCAAUCAAUCGAUGCGAUGGUCUUACUAAAACUGUAUGAGAAGGAAAUCAUGGUGGCAAAUGCAAAACCUAGGAAAGGAGAUCAAGGAACCAAAUUAAAUUCUGAAAAAACCAGACCUCUCAAUGAAACCUUGCAAGGGGGCGAGGAGUGCAGUGGCCAGCGGUUGGGUCGCCCCGAGGAUCUACUCCCGAAUCCCAGCCGGCACGCCCUGACUAUCAGCGACACGUCCUCGCCCACGUGGAUCCGUCGCCCGCUCAUCUUUGCUGCUGAUCAUGGGAGUACGAGAAGAAAUUAAAAAGGUUGGCGAUUUUCUCUUUGGCUUUUUUACGCUACGUGGUGGAGGACAGGGCGGGGGCAGCGGCGGGGCCUGAGCAGAUGGAAGGCAAGCAGCGGGGAUGGAGAUGACGCAAACGCCACCCGUGGACCUGAAUCAACGAGAGUGUUCCGAUUUUGCUACGGGAAUAGUGGCCCUUACGUCUGUAGCGGAAGAUGAUCCGCGGCCCAUGCGUGCAUUGACCAAGGCAUGUAAUGGCAAGGAACGCCUAAAACAGCCGAUCCAAUGGCCAAUCGCUAGUGCUUUUCCGCACUCAUCUCGUGUUGAAUCAGACACAGUGGAGGAGUGGCGAUACAGAGGGCAUGAGCCUCCCCCGUCGUUGUAAUCUGAUUGUUUCAGGGCUACUGUGUAACCAGACCAUCAAAUCAACUACUCACAGAUUCCCUCGCACAAAAAUACUUGCAGAUUAACCAGAUCCCAAUUUCAAAUCAUCCAAUGAGAGCAUGAGGGGAAGGAGGCAGGAGGAAGAUGUGGUGGAAUACUUCUGACUACCGACUGGAACAUGGGGCAUCUGCACAAUCGCUAAUAAGAUUGGCAACAGCCGGGUCCGGCCCGGAGGACGAGCGAGACGACGGGUUGGGUCAGGAGGAGGUGGGAAGGAGGGAGACCUUGCAGGUGGCGCGUUGAGGUCAGGCGAUGGCGACGCUUCCUGGCUGCUACAUCCGCCUCGGUGCUUCUAAAUUGAUGGACAAGCGGGACAGGAACGGAUGUACCCGCUACGGAUCUUCAUGCUCACCAUGUAUUCCUCCUUUUCUGCCGGACAAAGUGGUAGCGUGAGAGGGCUGGGAGCCUGGGAGGGAUCUCGGCUGCCACGGACAUCUCUAGAUCGCAAAGGAAGCGAAGCGGCGCAGGGAGGGCGUCGGGUGAAGGGAAAUGGGUGGCGUUUGAUGUUUUUCUCCUUGUGAUGUUUAUUAGGGCUUCGUGCGAGAUGGCCCAAUUAACCAC
rnacentral:lncRNA from 1 species